AUAUUUUGUUUACUGAGUAAAACAAUGUUUUGUUGUUGCUGUUUACCAGUAAUUAUGUCAUGGUCUGUCCCCUGCAGUUUGUUUUUUGGAACUUGGGUGGCGCGUUGUGCCUCGCCUUCCACAACACCCCUCUCUUUCUCUCUCUCCAGCAAUCAGCACCCCUCGCUUGCACACCUGUUCCCAAUCAGCACUCAUCACUGCCUGCAUUUAAGCCGGCCAAAUCCAGGAAUUCAACGCCAGAGUAUUGACGUUCAUCUGUGGUAUACAGGCCAACAUUCAUGUAAGUUACUCGACCUCCCGCAAUCAUACUUGCCCCCUUGUGUUCUUCUCUGCCUCCAGUGCUCCUUCUGUGUCUCCCGCCUCGCUGUCCGCUCCAGUCACGCCGCCAAACUAUUCCACCUUCCCAGUUCCAACGGACCACCAUCGCCCCUUGGAUAUCCUACCCACUCAUCAACCUUCUCCGCCUGCUUUUGGGUCCAGUCCUCCAUCAUACCAGUCUUGACAGAACUCUGGCCCAGCAACCCUUUAGACAUUGGGGAAAGCGCUCUCCCUCCAAAGCUCCCACACUGACAGACAAGACAAAGCUCUCCACAGAAUUAUGAACUCCUUACGUACCCUCUCCCAGCAAGUAUUUCUCAUAUCCUCCCAGAUGCACUUCGACAGCCCUCCUUUGCAUAUUCUUUCCGAGCCCGCACCCUCCUCCCAUACAAAAAGCCUCACGUCCCUCCUCCCGAACCCAACUCGAGGGACCUAGGUUCAUGUGGCCAAUUUCUUUUAAAUUGUCCCCUUGUUUUUUAUCUGCAACCGUUGACUUAUCCUUCGGAUAAAUCCAAAGUGGCAUUCAUUACUAACCUCCUACGCGGAAGAGCUGCGAAAUGGGUGACCACGCUCUGUCAUAAUUCGUCCCUGGUACUUGCUUCUUUCAACUUCAAGUGGUUAAAGAGGCUUAGAGGACGCAACCGGUUCCCAAGACUGGACCUCCAGACACUCACGCUCUGACAUCCUUCAAUGGGCCCAAAAUACCAAGCUCAUCUGUCAUCCUGGAAUCCUCCACACCAUCCAUUUCAUCCAACACCACUUCUGGUGGCCAAGCCUGGUUGAAGAUACCCAGGGGUUCGUCCGUACCUGCUCCGUCUGUGCCCGAGGUAAAAUGUCACAUCUGCCCCCAGCUGGUCUGCUGCAAUCCUUACCCAUCCCGAGCCGCCCUUGGUCCCACAUCGCCUUGGACUUUGUUACUGGCCUACCAUCCUCUGAAGGUAACACCAUCAUUCUUACCAUCAUUGAUAAUUUUUCUAAGAGUGUCCUUUACAUACCCCUUCCCAAGUUGCCCUCUGCCUUUGAGACUGCUAAUCUCCUAGUCCGACAUGGAUUUCAGCUCCAGGGCAUCCCCGUUGACAUCGUCUUGGCCUGAGGUCUGUAAGAUGGUGGGCGCAGCAGCCAGUCUGUCCUCUGGUUACCAUCCGCAAUCUAAUGGCCAGACGGAGCGGGCGAAUCAAAAUCUGGAGUCUGCCCUACGCUGCGUGGCUGCACGCAACCCCGCCUCCUGGAACACCUUUCUCCCAUGGGUGGAAUACGCCCAGAACUCCCUCACCAGCUCCGCCACAGAUAUGCCCUUUAUGGCUUGUUAUGGCUUCCAACCACCCCUCUUUAAGGAACAAAAGCACACUGUGGCGGUUCCGUCGGUGAGGGAGCGCCUACGACGUGUACAAUCCAUUUGGAAGGACGUCAGGUCGGACAGCUAAAAGAAACAAGCGGUUGGUGGAUCGCUCCCCCACGCCUGAAUACAAGGUGGGUCAGUCAGUUUGGCUCUUCUCCUGCGAUCUUCCUCUCGAGACCGAAUCGCGCAAGCUUUAUUGGUCCCUUUCCAAUCACUAAAAUUCUCAAUCUCACAUCGGUUCAGUUGAAGCUCCCUCAAUCUCUCAAGAUCCACCCAACAUUUCAUAGGUCUCUGCUCAAGCCCGUGUCCACUAGCACCCUCCAGCCCGCCCCACCCCCGUGUCAUUGACGAUCACCCUACCUUCACAGUGUCCUGCAUCCUGGAUGUGAGACCCAGGGGCAAGCGAUUCCAGUUUCUGGACGACUGGGAAGGGUAUGGUCCGGAAGAAUGCUUCUGGAUCUCUCGCAAAUUUUAGAUGACUCGUUAAUUAGGGACUUUUAUGCGGCACACCUUGAGAAGCCUGGGAGGGUGCCGGGAGAUGUCCAUUGAGGUGAUGGGGGGGGGGGGGGCUACUAUCAUGGUCUGUGUGCCCUGCAGUUCCUUUUUUGGAACUUGGGUGGCGCGUUGUGCCUCGCCUUCCACCCCCACCCCUCUUUCUACAGCAAUCAGCACCCCCUCGCCUGUGUACCUGUUCCCAAUCAGCACUCAACACUACCUGUACACCUAUGCCCAAUCAGCAUUCAUCACUGCCUGCAUUUAAGCCUGUCAGAUCCAGGAAUUCAACGCCACAGUAUUGACGUUCAUCCAUGUGCUCCUUCCAUGUCUCCCGACUCGCUGUCCGCUCCAGCCAUGCUCCCAAGCUAUUCCUCCUGCCCAGGCUCCCGCUUCCUACAGCUUCCCUGUUCCAACGGACGACCAUCGCCCCCCGGAUAUCCUACCCGCUAAUAAACUACUUAAUAAAUCAUUCUAAUCAA